UGGGGAAUAUUGCACAAUGGGCGAAAGCCUGAUGCAGCAACGCCGCGUGAGCGAUGAAGGCCUUCGGGUCGAAAAGCUCUGUCCUCAAGGAAGAUAAUGACGGUACUUGAGGAGGAAGCCCCGGCUAACUACGUGCCAGCAGCCGCGGUAAUAAGUAGGGGGCUAGCGUUAUACGGAUUUACUGGGCGUAAAGGGUGUGUAGGCGGUCCUUUAAGUCAGAGGUGAAAGGCUACGGCUCAACCGUAGUAAGCCUUUGAAACUGGGAAACUUGAGUGCAGGAGAGGAGAGUGGAAUUCCUAGUGUAGCGGUGAAAUUCGUAGAUAUUAGUAGGAACACCAGUUGCGAAGGCGGCUCUCUGGACUGUAACUGACACUGAGGCACGAAAGCGUGGGGAGCAAACA
rnacentral:rRNA from 1 species